UUUUCAGACCUGUGCAACGGAACUGAAAGACAACGGGUCAGGACGGGAACGUAGCAGCCCACCUUUCUUUACUGUGUGCCGCAGGGAUCUGGGGAGGG
rnacentral:SRP_RNA from 2 species